UCCAGUGGCUCAGUGAAUCAGCGUGGGCUGCUUACACAGAGCCAUACGGCGACCAUAGUGCCCUAUCAAAGCUAGGAUCUACCAGCCAGAAAAGACUAGGGCUGUGAAUUUGAAACGUGUCCUUUAGUCUCCACCCAAACAGCUGGAAGUAUGUUUUGUUGUUGUUUGAGUUCUGAAGGCAUCUGGCAGCAGCACACCAGGCAGUUCUAGCAGGAGAUUCAGUUGGGUCAAGUGCCGUGGCUGCAGGCAGUAUAGAUGAAUAGCUCCUCCUUAAGCUCACUCUUGAGUCUCUCAGGAGAUAAUUCAUGUAUGCAUCUUUCAGAUGGCAGCCAAAGAGGGUGCAGGCUGCCCUCAAGAGGGGAGCAAGCCUCAAAAGCAUCUAGGAGGGACACUAAGGGCUAGACAUAUGUUUGAGUAGGACUCUGGGAUAUCUGUGGUUACAUUCCCAAUCAAGUAAAGAUGAUGUCUUUCUUGAUUGGGAAAACCAUGCAGUAGUUACUUUUGCUUUUUACUGGGUUGGCCCUGAGUACAUAUUAUAACUUGAUGGCUUGCUUAAGAGAUUUUUUUUUUUUUUGGUUGUUGUUGUUCAGCCAUCUAGACUGCCAGUGGAUACUGUCACUACAAAGCAUACUGAUCAGCUGUGAGCUACAGUCUACACAUAGAAGCAAAAGAACUUCUGGGGGUUGAGGUGGGCAAUGAAGUAGGAACAGAAUUUCUCAUCAAAGCAUUAAAUUCUUGAACAGCUCUUUAAAAACAUCAUCAAAUAUUUACUCUCCAGAGAAAGUAGAAUUUUAUAGAAGAGAGGCAUCCUGAGGAGUUGCUUUUGGAAGCCCUGCUUACAGGUUUAAGUAGACAGGGUCUCCACUCUGCCUAUCCAUGGUUGCUCAUUAUUCCUCAGCCUGAUAUCACAAAGAAACCAUGUGAAAAGGAGCCUGGCAGGGUGGAUUGUGUUCUUUCUAUCCUGUCUUGCCAGCUGCCACGUUUCUGAACUGCCAGGAUUCUCAGUCUCAGCCGUGUAUCUCUCUCUCUCUCUCUCUCUCUCUCUCUCUCUCUCUCUCUCUCUCUCUCUCUCUGUGUGUGUGGGGGGGGUGUAAUUGUAAUGGGAUUCUAAUAUUUACCCAAAGAUUAAUAAUUAGUGAAACAAAUUUCAGUUUCUUCCAUUUGUAUCCUGAAACUGGUAACAAGUGGAGACAACUCCUGACUUGGAUUAAUUAGACAUGAGGAUGUCAAGAGCUACUCAGAAGAUCUCAGGGCUUCUCCAGCCACCCUGCCCAAAAGGUCAUAAUGCUAUGCCACCCAUGAUCCCCAAGGCUGACGAGAAGAGCUGUGUUCAAGAAGAGGAACACGUGGAGCACCAUGACUGACGAAGGAGACACAGAUGUAAAAAUGGCAGCAGGGUAGAAAGCAAAGGUGGAAACGCUACAUUGUGGACUUCUGAGAGCUUUGGUAUAAAGGGCGAUGAAGGAGAACUCGCCGAGGCCAGCCGAAGCCAGCCUGCUGAAUGCUGCUGUAAUUACACAGUAGCCUGGAGUAGCUCUUCUCAAAUCAAAUUAUGAGCCUGGAUUACCUAAAACUCUCAGGGCACCGUCCAGGUUUUCAUUUGUCUGGAGGUUGCUGUCAGCAAGCAGGUUUUUUUUUUUUCCUUCUCAUUAUUCUUUGCAAGGAUUAUCAAGGCCCCACUUCCGAGGCAGUAUCCCAGAGCUAGGAGACUCUGGGAAGAGGGCCGUUUUCUCACAAGGCUUGUCUCCCUGUGCACUUAUCGCUUACUUUUCAAAAGUAUAAAAGGAACAAAAUGAAAAGAAACUCUUUUUUUCCGUGUUUCAUACUUUUCUAUCAUUUGCAUAUCAAAGUUUAUGUCCAGCUGAGUUUACUCAUGAUUCUUUGGCAAAUAUUUAUGCUUUGUUAAUGUCUCAACCACCUAUACAGCAAUUAGAACAAGAGUCAACAGGCUCAACCAUAUUUGGAUCAUUGUUUGAACACCUGACUGUCCCCUGGGAAGUGUGCACUGCACUAGAAAUAAGAGGAAUAUGAAGAUCAUCUAGAGGUCACGGCUCCUGGAGUAGAGGCUCCCUACAGUGUGUGGCCCUGUGACACUCCUUUAAGCUCUCAUUUUCUCCAUGGACAGCCAAAGAUACGGAACUUCAUCAUUCUAAAGGCUUCCGUUCUUCUAGUCUCACCUGUGAACACAGCACCUAUGUAUUGUUUAAGCAAUUCUUGUGCCUUAUCGGAAAAAGUAGGAUUUUAACUUCCACAGCCAACAGGUAUGCAAAGGGAGAUAGCCAUCCAUUUCUUAAGUGGUUUAAAUUUUUAUUAAACCAAGACUUGGUGUUCUUGAGAUGCAACUGAGAGAUAAAUCAAC
rnacentral:lncRNA from 1 species